AAAAUAGCACUGAAAUCAUUUUAAACUAAAAGGCUAGGCCGGGUGCGGUGUUUCACUCCUGUAAUUCCAGCACUUUGGAAGACCGAGGCAGGUGGAUCACUUGAGGUCAGGAAUUCGAGAUUAGCCUGGCCAAUAUGGUGAAACCCCUUCUCUACUAAAAAUACAAAAAUUAGUUGAGCGUGGUCCCAGCUACUCAGGAGGUUGAGGCAGGAGAAUCGUUUGAACCCGGGAGGUGGAGGAUGCAGUGAGCCGAGAUUGCGCCACUGCACUCCAGCCUGGGAGACUGUCUCAAAAAAAAAAAAAAAAAAAAAAAAAAGAAAGAAAGAAAGAAAAGAAAAACAAACAGAAAAAAAAGGCUCAGCGACUGUUAGAAAUCGUUAUUUAUUCAUUUUUUUCAAAAAUACAUGGCCUCUCAUGUCAGAUUUAGCAGAUGUAGGACGUUUGCCCAUCUUAUUUGGCAAAAAUGCUUCUUAAGGAUUUGAUAGCGGCCCAAAUUCAUCAGUGUUUAAGUUUUUCUAAAACUAAUUUGAAAACUUAAAAAAAAAGAAGAAACAUAUGAAUAACUAGGAAGCUGUUUCGACAGUCACUCUUAAAGAGCUUUUAAAAUGGGCUCCACAUGUUAAUGUAUGAAAAGUGUCAGGCCUCUGAGCCCAAGCCAAGCCAUCGCAUCCCCUGUGACUUGCACGUAUACGCCCAGAUGGCCUGAAGUAACUGAAGAAUCACAAAAGAAGUGAAUAUGCCCUGCCCCACCUUAACUGAUGACAUUCCACCACAAAAGAUGUGUAAAUGGCCGGUCCUUGCCUUAAGUGAUGACAUUACCUUGUGAAAGUCCUUUUCCUGGCUCAUCCUGGCUCAAAAAGCACCCCCCACUGAGUACUUUGGGACCCCCACUCCUGCCCGCCAGAGAACAAACCCCCUUUGACACCCCCUUUGACUGUAAUUUUCCUUUACCUAUCCAAAUCCUAUAAAACAGCCCCACCCUUAUCUCCCUUUGCUGACUCUCUUUUCGGACUCAGCCCACCUGCACCCAGGUGAAAUAAACAGCCAUGUUGCUCACACAAAGCCUGUUUGGUGGUCUCUUCACACGGACGCACAUGAAAUUUGGUGCCAUGACUCGGAUCGGGGGACCUCCCUUAGGAGAUCAAUCCCCUGUCCUCCUGUUCUUUGCUCCGUGAGAAAGAUCCACCUACGACCUCAGGUCCUCAGACUGACCAGCCCAAGAAACAUCUCACCAAUUUCAAAUCCGGACCCCACUGAAAAUCGGACUAUUCAACUCACCUGGCAGCCACUCCCAGAGCUCCUGGAACUCUGGCCCAAGGCUCUCUGACUGACUCCUUCCCAGAUCUUCUCGGCUUAGCGGCUGAAGACUGACACUGCCCGAUCGCCUCGGAAGCCCCCUAGACCAUCACGGACGCCGAGCUGCCAGUAACUCUUACAGUGGAAGAAGGCAGGAAUGUCAGGCCUCUGAGCCCAAGCCAAGCCAUCGCAUCCCCUGUGACUUGCAAGUAUACGCCCAGAUGGCCUGAAGUAACUGAAGAAUCACAAAAGAAGUGAAUAUGCCCUGCCCCACCUUAACUGAUGACAUUCCACCACAAGAGAAGUGUAAAUGGCCGGUCCUUGCCUUAAGUGAUGACAUUACCUUGUGAAAGUCCUUUUCCUGGCUCAUCCUGGCUCAAAAAGCACCCCCACUGAGCACCUUGCGACCCCCACUCCUGCCUGCCAGAGAACAAACCCCCUUUGACUGUAAUUUACCUACCCAAAUCCUGUAAAAUGGCCCCACCCUUAUCUCCCUUUGCUGACUCUCUUUUCGGACUCAGCCCACCUGCACCCAGGUGAAAUAAACAGCCAUGUUGCUCACACAAAGCCUGU